AUUGAACGCUGGCGGCAUGCUUUACACAUGCAAGUCGAACGGUAACAGGCCGCAAGGUGCUGACGAGUGGCGAACGGGUGAGUAAUGCAUCGGAACGUGCCCAGUCGUGGGGGAUAACUACUCGAAAGAGUAGCUAAUACCGCAUACGAUCUAUGGAUGAAAGCGGGGGACCGUAAGGCCUCGCGCGAUUGGAGCGGCCGAUGUCAGAUUAGGUAGUUGGUGGGGAAUAGGCUCACAAAGCCAACGAUCUGUAGCUGGUCUGAGAGGACGACCGGCCACCUUGGGCAUGAGACACGGCCCAGACUCCUACGGGAGGCAGCAGUGGGAAAUUUUGGACAAUGGGCGCAAGCCUGAUCCAGCAAUGCCGCGUGCAGGAAGAAGGCCUUCGGGUUGUAAACUGCUUUUGUACGGAACGAAACGGCUCUGGUUAAUACCCGGGGCUAAUGACGGUACCGUAAGAAUAAGCACCGGCGAACUACGU
rnacentral:rRNA from 1 species